UGUGGAAUAUUGGACAAUGGGGGGAACCCUGAUCCAGCCAUGCCGCGUGUGUGAAGAAGGCCUUAUGGUUGUAAAGCACUUUAAGCGAGGAGGAGGGUACUGGUAUUAAUACUACCAGCUACUGGACGUUACUCGCAGAAUAAGCACCGGCUAACUCUGUGCCAGCAGCCGCGGUAAUACAGAGGGUGCGAGCGUUAAUCGGAUUUACUGGGCGUAAAGCGUGCGUAGGCGGCUAAUUGAGUCGGAUGUGAAAUCCCCGAGCUUAACUUGGGAAUUGCAUUCGAUACUGGUUAGCUAGAGUGUGGGAGAGGAUGGUAGAAUUCCAGGUGUAGCGGUGAAAUGCGUAGAGAUCUGGAGGAAUACCGAUGGCGAAGGCAGCCAUCUGGCCUAACACUGACGCUGAGGUACGAAAGCAUGGGGAGCAAACAGG
rnacentral:rRNA from 1 species